rnacentral:rRNA from 1 species
UACGAAGGGGGCUAGCGUUGCUCGGAAUCACUGGGCGUAAAGGUGCGUAGGCGGGUCUUUAAGUCAGGGGUGAAAUCCUGGAGCUCAACUCCAGAACUGCCUUCGAUACUGAGAGUCUCGAGUCCGAGAGAGGUGAGUGGAACUGCGAGUGUAGAGGUGAAAUUCGUAGAUAUUCGCAAGAGCACCAGUGGCGAAGGCGGCUCACUGGCCCGAUACUGACGCUGAGGCACGAAAGCGUGGGGAGCAAACAGGA